GUUUCUAAGCAAACGCUGUAUUAAUGCAGUGGUGUUACCUCUCGUCUUCCUAGUCCUCACAGAUGCGUAUUAGAAAUGGAACUGAAUAAAAUCAUCCUCCGCCCAGGUCACACUGAAAACCUUCCUCAGCACUUCAUCCUUCUCGGACGACAGUUCAGAGGACAUGUUUAGCCUCUCUGCACAGGACAGGUUCUCCCUCUCGGAGAUGCACACAGCUUUGAAGUGCCUCAGCCAAGUCAUCAGUGCACAAGUUUUGAAGGCAGACCAUCAUACUGUACCAUUCUGCCCUUCCUGGUAGCAAAGGAGAUUGUCUGAGAAGCUGCAAGUCUGACAAUCAAUGCAUACUCAAUAAAUAUUUCUCUCGAGCUGCAUAAAAAUACAAUCUAUUUCCAGAACCUCAACAGUCCAAUGAUGGCAAAAGCCACAUCAGCUAUGU